rnacentral:rRNA from 1 species
CCUACGGGAGGCAGCAGUGAGGAAUAUUGGUCAAUGGGCUUACGCCUGAACCAGCCAAGUCGCGUGAGGGAAGAAUGCCCUAUGGGUUGUAAACCUCUUUUGUCAGGGAGCAACGCCGGCUACGUGUAGCCGGACUGAGAGUACCUGAAGAAAAAGCAUCGGCUAACUCCGUGCCAGCAGCCGCGGUAAUACGGAGGAUGCGAGCGUUAUCCGGAUUUAUUGGGUUUAAAGGGUGCGUAGGCGGAAUGCCAAGUCAGCGGUAAAAGCGCGGGGCUCAACCUCGCUCCGCCGUUGAAACUGGCGUUCUUGAGUGGGCGAGAAGUAUGCGGAAUGCGUGGUGUAGCGGUGAAAUGCAUAGAUAUCACGCAGAACUCCGAUUGCGAAGGCAGCAUACCGGCGCCCAACUGACGCUGAAGCACGAAAGCGUGGGUAUCGAACAGGAUUAGAUACCCUAGUAGUC